CAGUCGCCGCGGUAAUACGAAGGGUGCAAGCGUUACUCGGAAUUACUGGGCGUAAAGCGUGUGUAGGUGGUUGUUUAAGUCUGUCGUGAAAGCCCUGGGCUCAACCUGGGAAUUGCGAUGGAUACUGGGAGACUAGAGUGCGGUAGAGGAUAGUGGAAUUUCCGGUGUAGCAGUGAAAUGCGUAGAGAUCGGAAGGAACAUCUGUGGCGAAGGCGACUAUCUGGGCCAACACUGACACUGAGACACGAAAGCGUGGGGAGCAAACAGGAUUAGAGACCCGAGUAGUCCCUGUCUCUUAUAC
rnacentral:rRNA from 1 species